AAUAGAAGCCCUAAUUAUUUGUUUCGGCUGUUUCCGCGAUUUCCCUUCGCUGCCUUCCUCUAAGCGGCCAACGGCGAGCUCGGGUGGGUACCUGUAGGCGGAGCUGCAGCUCUCUGCGGCAGAUCCGUGGCGGUGAGCGGCCUCUCUGAAACAGCUCAACCGGAUGUCGAUGAAGGACGCCAUAAAGGACAGGCUCACUGUGCCGGACAACGUGCAGUGAGUGGUUCGAAGUCUCAGGGGGCUUCUUGAUCAAUCAUCAUCCGACGCCAAUAUAACUUUUUAGCUCACGCUUUAGCCAACUUGGCAAGAUAAUUAGUUUCCUAUUUUUGGAGAGACAAUUCACCUGCAAUUUGUAUUACAAAAAUACUAAUUAAUCAUUUUGAAUAGUAUUACUAGUCAUAUAUUGAUAGUUUUGUUUCGGUGUUCAUAUA